rnacentral:rRNA from 1 species
GAUGAACGCUGGCGGCGUGCCUAAUACAUGCAAGUCGAGCGAACAGACGAGGAGCUUGCUCCUCUGACGUUAGCGGCGGACGGGUGAGUAACACGUGGAUAACCUACCUAUAAGACUGGGAUAACUUCGGGAAACCGGAGCUAAUACCGGAUAAUAUAUUCAACCGCAUGGUUCAAUAGUGAAAGACGGUUUUGCUGUCACUUAUAGAUGGAUCCGCGCCGCAUUAGCUAGUUGGUAAGGUAACGGCUUACAAAGGCAACGAUGCGUAGCCGACCUGAGAGGGUGAUCGGCCACACUGGAACUGAGACACGGUCCAGACUCCUACGGGAGGCAGCAGUAGGGAAUCCUCCGCAAUGGGCGAAAGCAUGACGGAGCAACGCCGCGUGAGCGAUGAAGGUCUUCGGAUCGUAAAACUCUGUUAUUAGGGAAGAACAAAUGUGUAAGUAACUAUGCACGUCUUGACGGUACCUAAUCAGAAAGCCACGGCUAACUACGUG